CUUGUGGAUCACACUGAGCCUGCUGCAGACUGGACUGGCGGAGCCAGAGAGAUGUAACUUCACCCUGGCGGAGUCCAAGGCCUCCAGCCAUUCUGUGUCUAUCCAGUGGAGAAUUUUGGGCUCACCCUGUAACUUUAGCCUCAUCUAUAGCAGUGACACCCUGGGGGCCGCGUUGUGCCCUACCUUUCGGAUAGACAACACCACAUACGGAUGUAACCUUCAAGAUUUACAAGCAGGAACCAUCUAUAACUUCAGGAUUAUUUCUCUGGAUGAAGAGAGAACAGUGGUCUUGCAAACAGGUAAAGGAUGACAGGUGCAAUUGGAUGGCCAAGCCACACGGGGUUGGGCCCUGCCUUUUCAAGCUGGUGUUUCAUUUGAGUUCCAGGGAUACAAAAAAUGAAGGUAAAAAUACCUGUGAAGAUAAAUAUUGACAGAAAUGUCUGGUUUCCUCGGAUCUAGCCAGAAGCAGCUUGGUGGACUUUCAGAGACUCCCUUAGUGCUGAAAACAGCCAACUAGCUACUGAAAGGGUCGGGGUGGGGUGCAGGGCGGUCAGCAAAGAGAAACUUUGGGCUGCGGUGGGAAUUUUUUAAAGUGAUGUGGUUUACGCUUCCAUUGCAUUAAAUUGUCAAACCCUGGAA
rnacentral:lncRNA from 1 species